rfam:Achromatium sp. WMS2 contig-183_192, whole genome shotgun sequence.
GUAAUCGCAAGGUGAAAUUGAAAGAAGGUAGAGGCAAAGACACGACCACAUAAACCGAAACAGCCAGAGAGACAGAGUGUGGGCAAUAAGCGUGCUAGAGAACGCAAAAUCCAACUAUCACCUAAAGAUACAUCAAAUGGGGCCUGACGGCACGGGUCGAAAGAACCAACA